rnacentral:lncRNA from 1 species
GUAUAAACAUCUAUCUACAUUAUACUAUACUAUGGAGCGGCACAGCUAGCAGGCAAUCUCUAACCCUGCUCUUCUCUAUACAAUACCUGCCCUGCAAUCAAAAACACCAAACUGGGGAGUGAAUAUAUGAAUACUCAGUGAGUGGAGUAGAGAGUACUAUGCACAUGAGACCAGAUAUAAUCAUGGCUCGAGGUGAAAUCUCAAGAGCAUAUGA